GGAACUGAGCAUGGUCUCUAGGCCUAUAAGCAAGAAGUUGGCUAAUCUUACAGAAUGCUCUAAUAAGAAAUCAAGUAAGAGGAGCAUUGAAGAAGAAGAAGAAGAAGAAGAAGAAGACCAGUACUGGGAGGAUGAGGAGUGGGAACGACUAACUGUCUAGAGGAGGUUGGGAAGACGAAGAAGAUUGGCACCGGUACUAAUUUGAAUAAGAAUACUACAUAUAUGGAUGGCACAUGGCCUGUGUGAAUCUUUUGUUUAAAGUCUCGUCUUUGAGGUUACAUUUUAUGAACACCUUCUUAAACGAUACCAAUCCUUUUAUUCUAAUAAUAUUGCCGGCUGAUGCUUUUUUAUUAUAA